GACGAACGCUGGCGGCGUGCCUAAUACAUGCAAGUCGAGCGAACAGGCGUGGUGCUUGCUCCACUUUCAUGAGCAGCGAACGGGUGAGUAACACGUGGAGAAUCUGCCUAUAAGAGUGGGACAACUUUUGGAAACGGGAGCUAAUACCGGAUAAUAACUUUAAACAUAAGGUUUAAGAUUGAAAGACGGUUUUGCUUUACUUAAUGGUUAUACCGCGUCGUAUUUGCUAGGUGGUUAGGUAAAGGCUCACCAAGGCAAUGAUUCAUAGCCGACCUGAGAGGGUGAUCGGCCACAUUGGAACUGAGACACGGCCCAAACUCCUACGGGAGGCAGCAGUAGGGAAGCUUCGGCAAUGGACGAAAGUCUGACGGAGCAACGCCGCGUGAGUGAUGAAGGUUUUCGGAUCGUAAAACUCUGUUAUUAGGGAAGAACGAAUGUGUAAGUGAAUAUGCACGUAUGGACGGUAACUGAUCCAGAAGCCACGGCUAAAUAAGGG
rnacentral:rRNA from 1 species